rnacentral:rRNA from 1 species
UAUUUUUUAUUGUAAUUUUAUUAUUGUUGGUUUGAUAGUAUCUGUAGGGGGUUUAAUAACUUGUAUUUUUGGUUGUUGGCGGUUAUGUUAAUGCUUGAGUUUAUGCAUUUGUAGAAUUAAUAAUUUAGUAGAUUAUUUUUAAUUGAGUUUUAUGUUUAUAAUUUUUUUAGAUAACUAAAAUUAGGUUCAAAUGUUUUUUAAAGACUUAGGCUUUUGUUUGAAGUUGUCUUCUGCUCUAUGAGUUUUUAAAUGGCAGCCUUAGCGGGAGGGUAUUAAGGUAGCAUAAUAAUUUGUGUCUUUAAUGGGCUCUAGUAUGAAUGGAGGAAAUGGAUCUUAAUUUUCUUUUAUUUGUUUUGAAUUAUGGGUUUAACUAAAAAUUGUUGGGUUUAAUUAUACUAAGAUAAGUCUUCGGAAAUUUUUUUUUUAUGUUCUUUAGGGUAAAGUUUUUGUGUAAAUUGUGAAACUAGAAGGUAUAUAUUAAAAUUACUUCGGAGUUAACAGAAUAAUAUUUUUUAUAUAGUUGUUAUAUUAGAAAAAAUAUUACAUCG